GCAUGCAUCCAAUGCGCACUUCAGAAUCUCACCGGAUGUAGUACUGUAGGUCAUUCGGUUACUUCUCGCAUACUGUUUUUCAACUACUAUAAACUCUGACAUACUACUCAGUUAGCACACUGUUUUUAGCAUACUCACUAGUAGGUACUACAUCUGAAUGUAAAUGUACUACUCGGCUUUUAAAAAAGUACGUUCUAUAAAGAAUGAAUGUCAGAAGUAUAAAUGGAACUGGGAUGUACUACAUCCACCAUUUUGUCAUGAUCACGUGACCUACGUUGCUUCGCGUGAUUUUUUUUCCCAAACCUGUUCAGCGCAAACCACGCCCCUACGCUAAAACCCCACCCCGCAGCUGAGACACGCGCGAUUUCAUUGGGCAACGUUGUUACUUGUCGUCUGAGAAAGAAGUUCAGAGUGCACAUCAAUCAAGUUCGUCUCUAAUGGAUCUAUCGUUGACAAAGGGUAAACACUUCUUGCUUAAUAAUGUUUAAUAUUAAUAAUUUAUUCAUGGAGAUGUGAGUUGUAUGUUUUUUUAUAGUGUUCAUUUUAUUUAUUUUAUCUUUAUUUUAUCAUUUUCGAUCGCCCUCAGGAGAGUAAGUUACGAUUGUAGUCCCAAAGACCAAGCUGCGGAUCUAAAGGUGCCAGCACAAUGUUCAUGUUCGAUCAGGCAUGGCUUGUCAACAACGGCUGUCCAAAAAUAUGCUGUGGGGCAAAAAGGGUUUGCACUUUGGUAAAGACUGUAGACAAAAGGGGAGGAUCAAGUAGGAACAAUGAUCCCCAUAUUCCCACUUACUCAACCUCUGUGCGCUUGUACAAUGUGCAUUGAGGCACAAGGUUGUAGGGGUCACUGUAGUUGCCACCACUGCAAGAGUUAACGCUGUUGAGAUGCCACCAUGUCAGAGCCUGAGCUGCCAGUUGCCACCAGAGCUAUUGCUGCCACAUGCACCAGAGUUACUGUCAACAGAAAAGCUCACAAAGCCUCAACCACAUUCAGACCCAUUCCAGCAAAACUGCCAGAGCCCGUGGUGCUAGAGCUGGCAGAUCUGCUGCUGCCAUAGCCAACGCUUCCAGAGCCACUGAUGCCACCAACUAAGCUCCAGGAUUGGCCACCUCUGCAAAAGCCAACUAGCCUAUCAGAGCCACUCUACCUAUUUCUAAAGUGAGGACAAUUUAUGCUUUAUAAAUGCCUAAUAAAUGACAAUUAAAGGCUCAGUGUCAAAUGAACAGUACAUCUUUGUAAUCCUAUCUAAAAAAUAAAAUUACUGUAAAGUUUAAACAUUGCAGAAUAACAGGAGUGUCAAAAUACGACAUAAAAUUGGAUAAAAAAACAACAACAAUAUAAUAAUUUAACAAUAUAUUAUGAUACAACAUUAUAAUGUUAUUUAGCGAAGUUUAAACUGUACGGUAACUUUAUUUUAGUUAAGAUUGCAAAAAUGUAUUUUUCAUUUGAUACAGAUUCAUUUAUGUAUCUUUAAAUGAUAAGAAAUAAAUCAAGUCGUGUUUUUUCCCCUGUUUAGAAGAUAACUGAGCCUUUAAUAGUUAUUUAUAAGGGAUUUAUAAAGCAUAAAUAGUCCUCACUUUAGAUUAGGUCACAAAACUGGAUGAAGUUAAAAUACUAAAGCAUUUAUUAACAUACAAAUUAAUUAUUAGUAUAUGCCUGAAUAAUAAGAUAUAUAAAUGUUAAUUUGAAUGGUUUAUUAUUUACUUAUGCGUUCUAAAUGAUCUUUAAAAGCCACAAAGUACUCUCAAAUAAUUGGUUUGUAAAUGAUACAAUACUUAAGUAUUGAAAAAAUUAUUAUUAACAAAGUAUGAAAAUACAAUCAUUAAGCACAUUAUAGAUGUGCUUAUAAAUCAAGAAUAGAGCAUUUGUAUCUGUAGUUACA